rnacentral:rRNA from 1 species
AGUGAACGCUGGCGGUAGGCCUAACACAUGCAAGUCGAACGGCAGCACAGUAAGAGCUUGCUCUUACGGGUGGCGAGUGGCGGACGAGUGAGGAAUACAUCGGAAUCUACUUUUUCGUGGGGGAUAACGUAGGGAAACUUACGCUAAUACCGCAUACGACCUACGGGUGAAAGCAGGGGAUCUUCGGACCUUGCGCGAUUGAAUGAGCCGAUGUCGGAUUAGCUAGUUGGCGGGGUAAAGGCCCACCAAGGCGACGAUCCGUAGCUGGUCUGAGAGGAUGAUCAGCCACACUGGAACUGAGACACGGUCCAGACUCCUACGGGAGGCAGCAGUGGGGAAUAUUGGACAAUGGGCGCAAGCCUGAUCCAGCCAUACCGCGUGGGUGAAGAAGGCCUGCGGGUUGUAAAGCCCUUUUGUUGGGAAAGAAAAGCAGCAGGUUAAUACCCCGCUGUUCUGACGGUACCCAAAGAAUAAGCACCGGCUAACUUCGU